UACGUAGGCAGCGAGCGUUGUUCGGAGUUACUGGGCGUAAAGGGUGUGUAGGCGGUUGUUUAAGUUUGGUGUGAAAUCUCCCGGCUCAACUGGGAGGGUGCGCCGAAUACUGAAUGACUUGGAGUGCGGGAGAGGAGAGUGGAAUUCCUGGUGUAGCGGUGAAAAUGCGUAGAUAUCAGGAGGAACACCGGUGGUGUAGACGGCUCUCUGGACCGUAACUGACGCUGAGACACGAAAGCGUGGGGAGCAAACAGG
rnacentral:rRNA from 1 species